AUUGAACGCUGGCGGCAUGCCUUACACAUGCAAGUCGAACGGUAACAGGUCUUCGGAUGCUGACGAGUGGCGAACGGGUGAGUAAUACAUCGGAACGUACCCGAUCGUGGGGGAUAACGAAGCGAAAGCUUUGCUAAUACCGCAUAAGAUCUACGGAUGAAAGCAGGGGACCGCAAGGCCUUGCGCGAACGGAGCGGCCGAUGGCAGAUUAGGUAGUUGGUGGGAUAAAAGCUUACCAAGCCGACGAACUGUAGCUGGUCUGAGAGGAUGACCAGCCACACUGGGACUGAGACACGGCCCAGACUCCUACGGGAGGCAGCAGUGGGGAAUUUUGGACAAUGGGCGAAAGCCUGAUCCAGCCAUGCCGCGUGCAGGAUGAAGGCCUUCGGGUUGUAAACUGCUUUUGUACGGAACGAAAAGACUCUUUCUAAUAAAGAGGGUCCAUGACGGUACCGUAAGAAUAAGCACCGGCUAACUACGUGCCAGCAGCCGCGGUAA
rnacentral:rRNA from 1 species